rnacentral:rRNA from 1 species
GUUUCCGUAGGUGAACCUGCGGAAGGAUCAUUGCACACACGAGUUGCAGCCAACCCGCGGCGAACGAACACAUUGUCCCCCCGGCGGGUCGUGGCGCCUCGCGGCGUCGCGGCCGGCCGCCUCCCCUCGCGUCGUCCCGAGCGACCUCGCUCGCUCGCGGCGUGCUUGGGGUGUGCACCACGAUGCAUCCACCGUGACUGAUCGACUGAGUCCCGAAUUUUGACUUGGGGAUGGGAGUGAGUUCCGUCCCGCCCCCCGGCGUGGGCGCGCGCGCGCGCUCGCGCUGAGUGGGUGACCGGCGCUGGCUCCCCAUCUCGCGAGUUGGAAGAGGACCAACCUUAACACAACUCUCAGCAACGGAUAUCUUGGCUCUUGCAACGAUGAAGAACGCAGCGAAAUGCGAUACGUAGUGUGAAUUGCAGAAUUCCGCGAAUCAUCGAGUCUUUGAACGCAAGUUGCGCCCGAGGCUUGUCCGAGGGCAUUUCCGCUAGAGCGUCACCGCGCCCCCCCACCGACCCACUCCCGAGUGGAUCGAGUGAAAGUGGCCGUCCCGGCGGCCUCCCCCUCCUCGUUCGAUCGAGGGGGCGGAGCGUCCAAGGGUCGGCUGAAAUGGAAGGAAUCGGGCCGCCGUGGUGACCCAGUCCGCGAUCAGGUGAUCCGGACUCCUCCGGGAGUCCCGGACUUUUCUAAGUGCGUGGCUGCGUCCCCCAGUCGGUUGCGGUUACCUCGGAGCAGGUCGAGCGCGCCCCCCCGCGGCGCGCGUCACGCAUCAGACCUCUAAUCGGAAAAGACUACCCGCUGAG